UUUCUAGAUAAGCCAGCCAGCCAACUGCUUAUGAGGAUGAGGAGAAACUGGGGCAAAGUUUAAGGAUGUCGCAAAGUCUGGGUGGCCUUCAGUCCGUGAAAGAGAACACAUCUGUUCUAUCUCAGGCUGAGGUCAUCUGCAUCCUCAUCAAUAAGCUGACUGAGCACUCAUUACCUGCCAGACACGGUGCCUACAUGCUCUAAAUGCACGGUCUCGUUUAUUCUCAGCAACUUUCCGAGGUAAGUGCUGUUAGCAUUCCCAUUCCACAAAGGAACAAACUAAGGCUCUGAGAAGAAGUAAUUUGCUCAAGACCUCACAGCCUGGGAUCAUGGGUAUGAAUCAUCUGGGUGAAUGAUGAGGCCAAAUCCCAAGUCCAUGUUUAUGACACUUAGAAAUAACCAUUUAAAUGUCCUUUGAAGGGUCAAAACCAUUUAGAGGUUUUAUCUCUUUCUUACAAUCUUCAAAGAAGUUUAACACCUUAUAAUAAAUAUCUCACAGAUAACUCAGGUCACUUAGUGAAUAUUAGUUGAAUUGCUUUUGUAUUAGAUCCUACCUGCAGCCAAAAUAUAAAUCUAUGUUACCCUCCAGCUCAAAUAUCUUCCAUGGCUCCCCAUUGCCGUCAAGAGACAAUUUAAACUCGUUACUAUGGACUCUUUACUCCAAGUCCUUGAGAUCCAUCUGUGCCACCUCCCCAGCUUCCAUCCUCUUAUCCGUUCUCCUCACAGUCUCACUUCAGCCAUGCUAAGCUACCUGCCAUUCUCUCUGUGGACCCUGGGCUCUUGCACUUGCUGUUCUUCUGGGAGCCCUUUUGUCCAACGCUUAUUCAUUCUGUGUGAGUUAACUCAACUGUCACCUCCCCAAAGUGGCCAACCUCCACCCACUGUGGUCUUGCGCCAGUGCCUUCCCCUGAGUCCCAUGACACCCUGCAUUUGCUUUUCUUACAUUGUAUUAUUAUUAUCUUUUUGCCUGCCUGUCUCUCCCACAGACAUGAAAGCAAGCUUUUAUGUACUUAGGUUGGAUUUCAAACUUGGCUCUGCCAUGUGUGUUCUUGGGCAAAGUUGUUUUUUUCUCUGUGAGCCUUAGUUUCCUCAGCUGCCAAAUAAGCAGUGAACAAGGUUAAGUCAUGUGACACACAAUACCUGGCAUAUAGUGAGGUUCAAUGUUAGCUUUUUUUAUCUAAGCAUCUUCAGGGCCAGUCUUUGGACCAAACAUGCUGUUGAUGCUCAGUGAAGUGGUAGUUCUACCUGGACCAGUGGUUUUCAAAUUUUCUCCUUCAUUGGAACCACCUGAGAGGCUGCUAAAACACAGGUUACUGGGUCCCACCCCAAGAGUUUUUGAUUCUGCGGGUAUGGAGUGGGGCUUGAGAGUUUGCAUUCCUAAUAUGUUCUCAGGUGGUGCUGAGGCUGCUGGUCCUGCGACUGUACUUUUAGAACCACUGGGCUGGUUACCUGGGAAGGGUAGAUGUCUGGUUAGGGUGAUCAGACAUUCAGAGCUAAAACAAAUUCACACUAGAGGAUAAGGCAAUCCACAAUGGGUGUGGCCACAGGAUAUUUGUUUAUCAAUUUAUCCAUUCAACCAAUAUUUGUUGAGUAUCUACCAUGUCCAGGCAUUGUGCUAGACACUGACAAUAGAACAAUGAAUGAGCAAGACAAGAAGGUCCAGAUCUUGAUAAGUUCACGUUCUAGUGGCCCUGCUUUGGAAGGUGGGGACCGUCAUUACACAAAUCCCAUGGGUGUGAAUUGAAGGGACACAGUUAGUUUGGGGAAUGGUUAGCCUUAAAGCCACUGAUACCAAUAAUGGCUUUACUGUCUACCGUAUCAUUGUAUUGCCUUCUCAACAUGAUUUCACCAAAAUGAUUCAUUGAAACUGAUUAUGGUAUUCCCAUAAUCCCCUUGCCUGGAACUGCAGCCAUCAUUCAGCACAGUUUUAGGAUGAAGUCAAGCCAUGGAACAUGGCAGAAUGGAGUGUCAGAGAACCAGAGCCAGGCUAUGAGACUUAACACUAGUUAUAUGAAAUGAUACAUUUCCUCAUUAUCGUUGUUAGCUGGAACAGAGUCUCAGAGAAUCAAAGCCAAAGAUGUUAUACAACACCUAUUAUAUGAAAUGAUAAAUACCCUUAUUGUUACGAUUAUCUGCCAAUUCAAGUAGGGGUUUUCUGUUACUUGGUGCUAAAAGUUCCCCAUGAUAGAAUAGCUUGCCUUUCCUAAGUGCUUACAAUGUGCCAGCCACUGCACUAAAUGUUUGGUAUGCACCAUCUCACUGCAUGCUGGCAGCAACUCCACGAGUAGGCUCUAUUAUUAGCCCAUUGUUGAGGGAGGACACUCAGAGUUUAAGUCACUUGCUCUUUAGUUGGGAGUGGAGAAGAUGAGAGGUAAGGCUGCUUUGUGGAGCAGGAUGGGCCAGUAAGGAUUAUCUAAAUGCAUUGCAAUGACACCAACUGAAACGUUUUGCAAUCACACAAUCUUCCUUGAGCUUCUUCCAAGAUAGAGCAGAUAAGGAUGGAAACACAAACCAACCAACCUUAUCUUCGUUUGGAGGACUGAGAAUCAUAGAAGGCAACUGACUUGCCCAGUUCAGCUUUCUCGUUCUAGUUCUCCUAAUUAAACUUGACUGCUUUCUAGAAGUUAAUCAACAAAUACACUCUCAGGCUGCUUUGGCCCAGUUUCCCGGUUAGGCAAUCAGGGAAAAAGGGCUAGGCAUUGUAGAACCCCAGGUCCUGCAGCUCCCCCACGUGGCUGCAUUUUGACUAAAGCAAGCUUCUGAGAGAGUAGAUCACGUAAGGAACCAGCCCUUCCAUGGCUGUCAUUAGCAGAAGUGCAGCUGGGGGCCAUUUUGUCAAGAAGUGCUUAUUUGGAAAAACAAAACAAAACAAAAAACGAAAAAAAAAAAUCUAUACAGGUGCAUGCCAGUCCCCCGGUAAUGAAAUGUAACAAAGGAAGCACUUAAGUUCAGUGAGGGAAAUACAGCUUUAAAUUACAGAUUGUACCCAGAGCACUUUAUAAACGGUAAUGUGUGAUAAUGUAUUAUCCUUACUUCUGUGAAAUUGUGGACUGCAACUUCUGCCGGGGCCAGUUAAAGGGCCAGGAGAUGGAGAGGGUUGCGUGAAUGCCAUUCAAGAAAAGGGCAACAGAGGCUAAGGGGUUAAACUCCCCAGAAAACCAAUUUAUGCAAAGGGCUGGAUCCUGACCGGCAUUCUGCACUAAAGAUCUGAAUUACAAAUUUAGAGAAUUUGCUGCUCGACAACGAAUGCAGGAAGGACCUCACUGGCUGCUGGGAACAACUGCCCUUUUGAAUGAAUUCUUUUAUGGUUACCAGUCAAAAAGUCACCGUCAGCUGGAACUGGAAGGGAGGGGCAUUUCUUAUCUGGGCAAAAAGCCCCUGUACCCAGCGAGGUGAAACUUGCAAAUGAUACUGUCACCUUCCUCAAUGGACUGCAGCUCAGGAGCUCACCAAAGGUUGCAGCAGGCAACCCCCAUGGUGUUUGGAGACAAAGGAAUAGCAGCUGCCUGGUUGCCUUGAAUCACCCCGUGCUCUGAUGAUGGCAGUGAUGGGCCUCCCACCAAUGGCUUCCCCAAGUGCUGUUUUCCUGCUUCAUGCCAAGGAAUCACCAGGCCAAUCUCCAUCAGCUCUCCCAAGAAACAUGACCUGUAUUAACUAGCUCCUAAUGACUUUCAACAGCCAUUCUCCACCACAGCAGCAAAAUAAAAUCUUCGAAUGUUAUCAACAGGAGCCAAGACUUCUUACUUAAUAUCUCCUUCGUACCUAUUGUAGAGGCUGGCUUCUAUUAAAAUAAUUAGAAGCCACAAUGUAAAUCAUUCCCUGGGUGGUGUUCAUUUUAAAUGAAUGAAUAAAUCACGGGUUAAAAACGUGUAAACUAAGACCAGGCAUGGUGGCUCAUGCCUGUAAUCCCAGCACUUUGGGAGGCUGAGGCGGGCGGAUCACUCGAGCUUGGGAGUUCGAGACCAGCUUGAGCAACAUGGAGAAACCCGUCUCUACUAAAAAUACAAAAUUAGCCAGGCGUGGUGGCGCAUGCCUGUAAUCCCAGCUACUCGGGAGACUGAAGCAAGAGAAUCGCUUGAACCCGGGAUGCGGAGGUUGCGGUGAGCCGAGAUUGCACCAUUGCACUCCAGCCUGGGCAACAAGAGCGAAACUCCAUCUCAAAAAAACAAAAAAAGUAAACUAAAAGAAAUCCAAAUACUUUCCCCAACAUCUUUCCUGGUCCUUUAGCAACUUGCUACUCAAAGUGUGAUCCCUGGAUCAGCAGCUUUUGUAGCAUCAAUCAGGAGCUUUGUGGCAUCCCAAUUUGGACCCCAAAACUACUCAAUCAGAAUGUGUGUUAAUAGAUCCCUGGGUGAUUCGUGUGCACAGUACAUUUUGAGAAGACUUGCGUUGUCAAAUCCAAUACAGCCUCACCCACUUGGGUGAAGUCUUUCUCUCAGGGCUACAAACUGGCAUUCUUGCUUUACAUCAACAUCUGCCUUCCUCACAUCAAUGAAACCACUGCAAGGACUACAUGAUUAGUUUGAAGACUGCACUACACCCAGAAAGAAGAAGCUAAUAAGGAACUAUUACAUCUUGUGGAAUAGGAGAGAGAAGCUAUGAGUGUGAAUGUGCUUUAGAUGGAAUGCUUAAUAAAUAUUUUUGGAAGAAAAAUGAAAGAAGGAAGAAGGGAAAAAAGGAAGGAAGGAAGGGAAGAAAUUUCAGUGGUUUCCAUAUGUAAAUCAAAUGAUUAGUGGAUACCUAGUUUCAGUGUCUCCAUUCUCAAAGUGGGUAUUUUUUAAACAUGCAAGUAGAAAUUGUUAAGUGUGGUUAAAGUUGAGUACAAUGUUUUAUCGAAGGGUAACAAUUUCAAGUAAUGUAUUCCAACUUUAUAUAUCAUAUUUUGGUAUCUAUUAUUUUAAUCUCAUCCAUUCAUUCCUUUGUCUAUCAAGCACCUGCUGUUUAUGCAGUCCUAUUUCAAGUCCUUGAGAUACAGCCUUGAACCUGAAAGGUGGUGCCCUGCCCUCACGGAGCUGGGAGUCCAGUGGUGAAGAGGGGCUUCCAUUUUGUAGAGGAGAGUAAAAUAAGCAAAUCUAAAACACCUCCCCACCAGUCUGCCUAAAAUUGCAAGCAGUAAAAAAAUUUCCUCUGCAUCUAGCAGCCAUUGAUUCUAUAGUCCAUGGAGUAACACAAUUGUGCAUUUAUACCCCUGUUAAAUUAAAUAAGCAGGAGGCCUUUAGCCUGAGGCAGUCUCCUUACUCCAAGUGUCUAUGUAACAAACUGCAACUACAUUUAGUAAGUAAACAAACCAAAACCUACCUUAUGAGUAUCCUUUUGUUUUGUAACAAAUAACCAUGUUGCAGCCAAUCACAAAUAGCUGAGCUUCAGCCAAUCACAGGCAACCAGUUGGGAAUCAGACCAUUCCCAAAUAAGGCAGACACCUCAUCACAUCGUGACCAAAUAAGGCAAACACCUCAUUGUACCCAAUCAGAUAAAUUUUCUACUUUGCUUCCAUGUUUGGCCUAUAAAAUCUUACUGCUCAUGCCACUAGGCAGUGCUCUCUGAACCUCUUUGGGUUUUGAGUGCUGCCCAAUUCAUGAACUGUUCUUUGCUCACAACAUAAAGUGUGUUUAAAUUUGAUUUGUCUAUUUUUUUAACACGUCAAAUUGGUAUAAUAUAAUGUAAAUAAAAUCAGCCAAUAAUGCAUUCAUUCAUUCAUUCAUUCAUUCAACAAAUAUUACCCAGAGCAUCUGCUAUGCACAAGACACUGAACAAAACUGAUGAUGAUGUUGAUGGUGAUGAUGACGAUUACUUCUACAUGCUGAUUGCUCCCUAGGUCUCAGGCACUGUGCUAGGUGACUAGAUGCAGUAUCUCACCUGUUUCACGAACUCUAUGAGUUAGGCAUCAUUAUUUAUGAACAGAUAAAAAAAUCUGGUUCAGAGAGGCAAUAACUUGCUCAAGGUCUCAGCUUGUAAAAUGGAGAAGGAUUGAACCUGCUGGAAGUCACAUAGCAGUUCAAAAACCCUGAGUGAUAGACCCGGGAUCCCAGUGUGAAAAGCCACAUGUAGAAUUUGAAAAACUGACUGGGGCAGAUGGUGUUGGGGAAGGAGAGAGCCCAGAAAGAAGAGGCAAAAAAAUCCACCUACCAGGCCUUUAAAGAAGCCCCCAAGGGACUGCUGCCGCUUCUCAGGUCUCUUUUGGAGCUUGUCCCCAUUCUGCAGUGAGUUCAUGUCCACCGUGGCCUGCUCUGUGCACUGGGCUGGUUCUUUGGCUUCCUGCUUGUUGCUCUUCUGCUUGUUCAUCUCAGCUGCUGACUUCUUGUCCUUCGAGGAGCCCUCUUUACCCUUCUGUGGUGCUCCUGUUGGUUCAGGCUCUGGCGGUGUGAUAGUCUUUUCUGUGGAGUCUGAU